UCCGUAGGUGGCAAGCGUUAUCCGGAAUUACUGGGCGUAAAGCGCACGCAGGUGGUUGACUAAGUUUGACGUGAAAGCGCCUGGCUUAACUGGGCGAGGUCGUUGGAGACUGGUCGACUUGAGGCGAGGAGAGGGGUGUAGAAUUCCUAGUGUAGAGGUGAAAUUCGUAGAUAUUAGGAAGAACACCAGUGGCGAAGGCGGCUCACUGGCCCGGUACUGACGCUGAGGCGCGAAAGCGUGGGGAGCAAACAGG
rnacentral:rRNA from 1 species